rnacentral:misc_RNA from 1 species
GAUGAAGAAAGUAGCGAAAUGCGAUACUUGGUGUGAAUUGCAGAAUCCCGUGAACCAUCGAGUCUUUGAACGCAAGUUGCGCCCGAAGCCAUUAGGCCGAGGGCACGCCUGCCUGGGUGUCACACGUCGUUGCCCCCCCAUCUACUCCUUCGGGAUUGCGGGGGGCGGAUGAUGGCCUCCCGUGCGCCUCGUCGCGCGGUUGGCAUAAUUGCCAAGUCCUCGGCGACGCACGCCACGACAAUCGGUGGUUGCGAAACCUCGGUUGCCCGUCGUGUGCGGUCGUCGCGCAUCGAGGGCUCGAAAAAAUUGCCGGGCUCCGGCUCGGCUUUCAACGCGACCCCAGGUCAGGCGGGGUUACCCGCUGAAUUUAAGCAUAUCAAUAAGCGGAGGA